UGGUGGGGCCCUCAUCCAGCCUCGGGCGAGACCUCCCAACCUACUUCAGCAGGGGAGAUGUGGUCCCAGGACGCGCUCUCGUCGCCUCUCCCCUGCGGUGACUCCAGGUUGCCUCACUUCCCUGAUGGCCAGGGUCUUGACUACUCUCAUUCAAGAGUGUUGGGUGCCAACAUCCUCAGACUAGCUUGGAUAUUUCUGGUUAUAAAAAAGAUGUGACUCCCAGACGAAUCCUGAGUGGGAAGUAUGAGUCCAGAUGUCCCUCUGCUAAACGAUUACAAACAGGACUUCCUGCUGAAGCGCUUUCCACAGACUGUUCUCGGAGGCCCUCGACUCAAAUUAGGCUACUGUGCCCCUCCUUACGUAUAUGUCAGUCAGAUUGUCCUUUUCCUGAUGCCAUGGGCCCUAGGCGGAACAGGAACACUCCUGUACCAACUGGACAUCCUGAGAGACUACACAGCAGCAGCUCUCUCAGGAGGACUGAUGGUGUUCACAGCGGCUGUCAUUCAGCUCAUCAGCGUGUACGCCAAGAGCAAGUCAGUGGUGGUAAAGAGGAUGAUAACCAGGAAUAUCCUAGCAGAGGAAGACCAGCACGAAUUUACAAGUUGUGCUGGUGCUGAGACCGUCAAAUUUCUGAUUCCUGGCAAAAAAUAUGUAGCCAAUACAGUCUUUCAUUCUGUUCUUGCUGGGCUGGUGUGUGGUCUUGGAACAUGGUAUUUGCUCCCAAACCGAGUAACCUUGCUGUAUGGCAGCCCUGGGGCGACUGCUGUGCUCUUUGUCUUUGGGUGGAUAACACUUUGCAUAGGAGAAUACUCACUCAUUGUAAACACCGCUGCAGAGACAGCUACAUUCCAGACCCAGGAUACUUAUGAAAUCACUCCUCUCAUGAGACCACUUUAUAUUUUUUUCUUUGUUUCUGUGGACCUUGCAUACAGGUUUAUUGUUGGUAUUCCAGCUCUAGAGCAAGCGAAUCAGAUUUUGCACAUCUUGUUUGUGUUAUUGCCCUUUCUGUGGGCACUUGGGACUCUACCCCCACCUGACGCCCUUCUCUUUUGGGCAGUGGAGCAGGUUUUAGAGUUUGGUCUUGGGGGUUCAUCCAUGUCAACUCACCUACGGUUAUUGGUCAUGUUCAUCAUUUCAGCCGGGGCCCCAGUCGCAUCAUACUUCA
rnacentral:lncRNA from 1 species